rnacentral:rRNA from 1 species
CAGUCGCCACGGGAAUACGUAGGUGGCAAGCGUUGUCCGGAAUUACUGGGCGUAAAGGGCGCGUAGGCGGACAGUUCAGUCGGGGGUGAAAGCCCGGGGCUCAACCUCGGAAUUGCCUUCGAUACUGGCUGUCUUGAGUAUGAGAGAGGUGUGUGGAACUCCGAGUGUAGAGGUGAAAUUCGUAGAUAUUCGGAAGAACACCAGUGGCGAAGGCGACACACUGGCUCAUUACUGACGCUGAGGCGCGAAAGCGUGGGGAGCAAACAGGAUUAGAUACCCCCGUAGUCCCUGUCUCUUAUAA